GUGUAGUGGCAGUGUGUACGUGUGUGUGGGCGGCACUGUGUAGGAGUGUGCAGUUUGACAGAGCCUCCAGUAGCAUGUAUUUAUGAAUCUUUUGUUUUAUUCUCCAUCUCCUAUUCAGCUCUGCAGUAAUCACACCUAGCAGUGCUGCUCAAGUGCUGCUGCCCUUGAAUGAAGAGAGACAAAAUGGGCUCUUUAAAGACUUAUUUCAACAGCAGGUCUACAGUGACAAGGGGAACCAGGCAGGGUAAUCCCAGCGUUACAAUAAGGCUGUUCAGUUGGGUAAGCAAGAACGCAAACUUUAUUUUUCAAAACAGAUGUUACAAAGUGCUUUACAGGAGGAAGAAAUGAUGAAGAGGAAAUUAAAGAAACAGAUGAGACAAUAUAUAAAAAUAAGGAGACUCAAAAGAAAACUGAUUGGCUUAAAACAUGAAUACUUUUUUACAGAUUCAUUUUUUCCCAUUAUUUUUUUUGGAAAGCUUUGUUCUGAAACUGUUCUUGGAAAACAGUGUGAAGCACAUUACACAAAAUUUUCCUGGUUGAUCAACAGCUGUGCUUCAUUUGACCUUUCAAGAACAAUAUUUUGUUUGUGACUUUUAUUCCAUAGUGUUUUUUUUUUUUUUUU